GACGAACGCUGGCGGCGUGCUUAACACAUGCAAGUCGAACGGAAAGGCCCGGCUCUUGUGGGGUGCUCGAUUGGCGAACGCGUGAGUAACACGUGAGGAACCUGCCCUUGACUGUGUGAGAACUUCACGAAACAGGGGCGAAUACCGGAGAUGAUCUCCUGCUCCAUGGGGGGGGUUGGAAAGUCUCGGCGGUUGGGGAUGGUGUUGCGGCUUAUCAGCUGGUUGGUGGGGUUGGGGCUGACCAAGGCUUGGACGGGCAGCCGGCCUGAGAGGGUGACCGGCCACAUAGGGCCUGGGAUGCGGCCAAGACUGAUACGGGAGGAAGCAGCGGGGAAUAUAGCAAAAUGGGCGGAGGGAUGAAGCAGGAACGCCGCGUGCGAGAAGACGGCUUUCGGGUUGGAACCCGCUUUCGCCUGUGACGAAGCGUGAGUACCGGAAAUGGGUAAAGAAGCACGGGCUAACUACGU
rnacentral:rRNA from 1 species